CAGUCGCCACGGUAAUACAGAGGGUGCAAGCGUUAAUCGGAUUUACUGGGCGUAAAGGGCGCGUAGGUGGUUAUUUAAGUGAGAUGUGAAAGCCCCGGGCUUAACCUGGGAACUGCAUCUUAUACUGGGUAACUGGAGUGCAGUAGAGGGUAGUGGAAUUUCCGGUGUAGCGGUGAAAUGCGUAGAGAUCGGGAGGAACAUCAGUGGCGAAGGCGGCCAUCUGGGACAACACUGACGCUGAGGCACGAAAGCGUGGGGAGCAAACAGGAUUAGAUACCCGCGUAGUCCCUGUCUCUUAUAC
rnacentral:rRNA from 1 species